AUUGAACGCUGGCGGAAUGCUUUACACAUGCAAGUCGAGCGGCAGCACGGGGGCAACCCUGGUGGCGAGCGGCGAACGGGUGAGUAAUACAUCGGAACAUGCCCAGUCGUGGGGGAUAACACUUCGAAAGAAGUGCUAAUACCGCAUACGUCCUGAGGGAGAAAGCGGGGGAUCGCAAGACCUCGCGCGAUUGGAGUGGCCGAUGUCAGAUUAGCUAGUUGGUGGGGUAAAGGCCUACCAAGGCAACGAUCUGUAGCUGGUCUGAGAGGAUGAUCAGCCACACUGGGGCUGAGACACGGCCCAGACUCCUACGGGAGGCAGCAGUGGGGAAUGUUGGACAAUGGGGGCAACCCUGAUCCAGCCAUUCCGCGUGAGUGAAGAAGGCCUUCGGGUUGUAAAGCUCUUUCGGCAGGAACGAAACGGCGAGCUCUAACAUAGCUUGCUAAUGACGGUACCUGAAGAAGAAGCACCGGCUAACUACGUG
rnacentral:rRNA from 1 species